UGCUCCUCAACCAUAACUAGCUGAAAUAACUCUAAUCACCUAUUUUUACUGUUUGAGUUAGGGAGGGUUCACAGGACUCAUUUUGCCAGAAGAGCUGAAAUGCUUGCAGGAAGGGAAAAGGGAAAGGGAUACAAAUUCAGAGCUGCAAAAUAGCAGCUGAACACGAUAAUAUCAUCAGCUGGCAGAGGUGGCUGCACACUGAGCAUCUGUCUAUAUCCUAAAAUUACUGUUUUGUUCAGGGAUUUGUUUGCUUGUUGGUUGGAGUUUUGGUUUGUUAUACUGCAGGAUCACUCCUAACUGCUAAAACAAUUAAGAAAGAAACUUCAGAAAAAGAACACUAAGUGCUAUGGUUUUUAAUUCCCUACUGGGUUUUGGGAAGAAGUAGUUUGUGGCAAACAAGGAAGACAAACCUGGAUCUUUUGCUGCAUCCUUCCUCCUGUUUAAGAAGAUUUGUGAUUCUACGUCUAAAUCCAACAACUUUCCAUGUGGCCCUGCUUGUGUCUACAGAAAUGCCAGAAUCUGCUGCUGCAGACAUGCUGAAAGCAAGCUGAAAGCACCAUGAGCAGAAGAAGGUAUGGGAGGAAAUCCAUCAGAGGAAACAGUUGUUGGAAGAAAGCAAAAGCAGAGAUAAUGCCUCUUGCUCACUGCAGCCAGAGUGUCUGGAGAAGGGAGGUCUAAGAGGCUCUGCUCCAUUUCCUUGUAUGGUUCAGUGACACAGCUCUGCCAGAGCCCAGGAGCCCAGGCUAGUUCAGGGGAGCACACAGCACCAGCAGCCACGCCAGUUCUCUUCACCAGAAGCAGAACCUUUUGGGCCCUGUGCUCAGCCGUCAGGAUCGUCUACCACUGUCAAAGAGCGGGUUCCCCCACAAAGCAGGACUGUGCCUCACCUGGAGCUCUGUUGGAUUGCUGUGCAGCUGCUCAAAGAGCAGAACCAAGGCAUGUUCUCAGCUUGCUCUUCCUGCCUUGUGACUUUAAAGCACAGAACACUACCUUACCCCCAACAGCCCUGUCUAACCUGACUCC